UCUUAUUACUCAAAAUUGUACACAUUUUCUCAUGCUCUUAAUUUAGUUAUGCUACUUUUCUUUACUCUUGGAAUUUUCACACUUGUGUUCACUCUCUUUUGAGUUCUCAUAGUAUCAAAUAAGCUUUUUUCCCUCUUUCUGAUUUGAAGGUUCAUCUUCUCAUAAUUAUUUUGUCCGCUCAGUUUCUUUUCAUUCUCAGUUAAGUGCCUCUCAUCUGGCUUUUCAUUUGUAAGGUUUCCUUUCAUCUUAAGCCAGUCUUUCAUUUAUAUUUUGAUUCUGUUUUGUGGAGGACAUACUUCCCUGAA
rnacentral:lncRNA from 1 species